UUGCCUUAGUAGCGGCGAGUGAAGCGGCAAAAGCUCAAAUUUGAAAUCUGGCACUUUCAGUGUCCGAGUUGUAAUUUGAAGAAGGUAUCUUUGGGUCUGGCUCUUGUCUAUGUUUCUUGGAACAGAACGUCACAGAGGGUGAGAAUCCCGUGCGAUGAGAUGACCCAGACCUAUGUAAAGUUCCUUCGAAGAGUCGAGUUGUUUGGGAAUGCAGCUCUAAGUGGGUGGUAAAUUCCAUCUAAAGCUAAAUAUUGGCGAGAGACCGAUAGCGAACAAGUACAGUGAUGGAAAGAUGAAAAGAACUUUGAAAAGAGAGUGAAAAAGUACGUGAAAUUGUUGAAAGGGAAGGGCUUGAGAUCAGACUUGGUAUUUUGUAUGUUACUCUCUCGGGGGUGGCCUCUACAGUUUACCGGGCCAGCAUCAGUUUGGGCGGUAGGAGAAUUGCAAAGAAAUGUGGCACUGCCUCGGUAGUGUGUUAUAGUCUUUGUCGAUACUGCCAGCCUAGACUGAGGACUGCGGCUUCGGCCUAGGAUGUUGGCAUAAUGAUCUUAAGUCGCCCGUCUUG
rnacentral:rRNA from 2 species